AGAGUUUGAUUAUGGCUCAGGAUGAACGCUAGCGACAGGCUAGCACAUGCAAGUCGAGGGGCAGCAUAAAAGUAGCAAUACUUGGUGGCGACCGGCGCACGGGUGAGUAACGCGUAUGCAACCUACCUAUCAGGAGGGGAAUAACCCGGCGAAAGUCGGACUAAUACCGCAUAAAACAGGGGCACCGCAUGGUGAUAUUUGUUAAAGAAAUUCGCUGAUAGAUGGGCAUGCGUUCCAUUAGGUAGUUGGUGAGGUAACGGCUCACCAAGCCGACGAUGGAUAGGGGAACUGAGAGGUUGGUCCCCCACACUGGUACUGAGACACGGACCAGACUCCUACGGGAGGCAGCAGUGAGGAAUAUUGGUCAAUGGGCGGGAGCCUGAACCAGCCAAGUCGCGUGAAGGAAGAAGGAUCUAUGGUUCGUAAACUUCUUUUGCAGGGGAAUAAAGUGCAGGACGUGUCCUGUUUUGUACGUACCCUGAGAAUAAGGAUCGGCUAACUCCGUGCCAGCCGCCGC
rnacentral:rRNA from 1 species